rnacentral:rRNA from 1 species
GACGAACGCUGGCGGCGUGCUUAACACAUGCAAGUCGAGCGGUAAGGCCCCUUCGGGGGUACACGAGCGGCGAACGGGUGAGUAACACGUGGGUGACCUGCCCUCAGCUCUGGGAUAAGCCUGGGAAACUGGGUCUAAUACCGGAUAUGACUCCAUGACGCAUGUCGUGGGGUGGAAAGCCUUGUGCGGCUGGGGAUGGGCCCGCGGCCUAUCAGCUUGUUGGUGGGGUGAUGGCCUACCAAGGCGACGACGGGUAGCCGGCCUGAGAGGGCGACCGGCCACACUGGGACUGAGACACGGCCCAGACUCCUACGGGAGGCAGCAGCGGGGAAUCUUGCGCAAUGGGCGAAAGCCUGACGCAGCGACGCCGCGUGAGGGAUGACGGCCU